AAAACUGCGGACUCAAUGACCACGGCGAUUUCGUAACGCCCCCGUUCCGAAAGUGUUCUUCUGGGCAGUGCAACCCCGACGGCGCGGAGCUAUGUAGCCCCUGCGGCGGCGGAGCCGUGACCCCUACUCCCGCCGCGGGCGGGGGCAGAACCCCGUGGCGCUGCAGAGAGGCGCCCUGGAGACAGGGGACACAUGGAAGGAGGCCUCACUACUUCCACUCCUGAGCAGGGAACUGUCCAGUCUGGCGUCACAACCCCUGUCUCGCCUCCUGGAUGAGCUGGAGGUGCUGGAAGAGCUGAUUGUACUGCUGGACCCUGAGCCUGGGCCAG
rnacentral:lncRNA from 1 species